UACAGAGGUCCCGAGCGUUGUUCGGAUUCACUGGGCGUAAAGGGUGCGUAGGUGGUGAGGUAAGUCGGAUGUGAAAGCUCGGAGCUCAACUCCGAAAUGGCAUUGGAAACUACCUUGCUUGAGGAUUGGAGGGGGGACUGGAAUUCUCGGUGUAGCAGUGAAAUGCGUUGAUAUCAUCAGGAAUACCGGAGGCGAAGGCGGCUCACUGGGGGUCUUCUGACGCUGAGGAACGAAAGCCAGGGGAGCGAACGGG
rnacentral:rRNA from 1 species